GGCAUUUUCGAUAUUUUUUUCUUAUUUUAUUAAACUUCAAAUAAAUUCAACAUCGUAUAAACAUAAAUAUGUACAAAUAAACUGUAAAUUUCAAUAGAAUAUAACACGAAAGGAACUGGCCUUCAAAAUUAUUCAAAUUAUAAUAAUUUUUACAUCAAUUUCUACUUGAAAUACAAUAUUAUAUACAAAUCAAACUCAAAAAUCUUAAUUGUUUCAUUUAAAAAAUAAACGAGAUAAAAAAAAAAA